rnacentral:rRNA from 1 species
AUUGAACGCUGGCGGCAGGCCUAACACAUGCAAGUCGAGCGGAUGAAGGGAGCUUGCUCCUGGAUUCAGCGGCGGACGGGUGAGUAAUGCCUAGGAAUCUGCCUGGUAGUGGGGGAUAACGUCCGGAAACGGGCGCUAAUACCGCAUACGUCCUGAGGGAGAAAGUGGGGGAUCUUUGGACCUCACGCUAUCAGAUGAGCCUAGGUCGGAUUAGCUAGUUGGUGGGGUAAAGGCCUACCAAGGCGACGAUCCGUAACUGGUCUGAGAGGAUGAUCAGUCACACUGGAACUGAAACACGGUCCAGACUCCUACGGGAGGCAGCAGUGGGGAAUAUUGGACAAUGGGCGAAAGCCUGAUCCAGCCGUGGCGAGUGUGUGAAGAAGGUCUUCGGAUUGUAAAGCACUUUAAGUUGGGAGGAAGGGCAGUAAGUUAAUACCUUGCUGUUUUGACGUUACCGACAGAAUAAGCACCGGCUAACUUCGUG